UACGGAGGAUGCGAGCGUUAUCCGGAUUUAUUGGGUUUAAAGGGUGCGUAGGCGGCCUGCCAAGUCAGCGGUAAAAUUGCGGGGCUCAACCCCGUACAGCCGUUGAAACUGCCGGGCUCGAGUGGGCGAGAAGUAUGCGGAAUGCGUGGUGUAGCGGUGAAAUGCAUAGAUAUCACGCAGAACCCCGAUUGCGAAGGCAGCAUACCGGCGCCCUACUGACGCUGAGGCACGAAAGCGUGGGGAGCAAACAGG
rnacentral:rRNA from 1 species